GACAGAGGGGGCAAGCGUUGCUCGGAAUUACUGGGCGUAGAGGGCGCGUAGGCGGGAUGGCAAGUCGGAUGUGAAAUCCCCAGGCUUAACCUGGGAACUGCAUCCGAUACUGGAUGGCUUGAAUUCGGGAGAGGGAUGCAGAAUUCCAGGUGUAGCGGUGAAAUGCGUAGAUAUCUGGAGGAAUACCGGUGGCGAAGGCGGCAUCCUGGACCGACAUUGACGCUGAGGAGCGAAAGCUAGGGGAGCAAACGGG
rnacentral:rRNA from 1 species